UUCAACGCAUUGCACGAAAUUUCUGGAAAUGUGGAAAUCACAUCGAGAUAAUUCAACGCACUCUUUUCUACCAGAUGGAGACAUUUGCAUAAAUGACGUCGAAGCGGCCAUUAAGAAAUUUACGCAUCAAGAAAUACACCUGUUUUCCGUCCUUUGUUAAGAUUUCCCAGAUCUAAGGUGACGUCCGCGCUGCAACCGCCCCAUUCCCAGCCAUUUGGUGGUAACUCCUUCCUCGUCCUGCAAAAGGAACACCCGAACCUCGAUGAACAAGUGACUCGUUAAAUUGAAAAUUGGGGGUAUCGGUGGAGAUUGGAAUGGCCUUCGAAUACGUUUUGAGCACAGCCGCGUUGGUAACCAGCGUUUAACCAGGCAGAACAAGGUACAAAAGGCAAAGACAAGAGUUUACCUUACGGUAGGCUCACAACCGCAGGCCGUGAUGUUGCCCCUGCUGCAAGCUGCGGUCACGGCGUACGUUACA